GUCAAGUCUUCAUGCCCCUUAUAUCCAGGGCUGCAAACAUGCUACAAUGGCCGGUACAAAGGGCUGCUAUUCCGCGAGGAUGAGCGAAUCCCAAAAAGCCGGUCUCAGUUCGGAUUGGAGUCUGCAACUCGACUCCAUGAAGUCGGAGUCGCUAGUAAUCCCGGAUCAGCAACGCCGGGGUGAAUACGUUCCCGGGCCUU
rnacentral:rRNA from 1 species